rnacentral:rRNA from 1 species
UACGUAGGGACCGAGCGUUGUCCGGAUUCAUUGGGCGUAAAGAGCUCGUAGGCGGCUGUCCAAGUCGAAACGUGAAAACUCGGGGCUCAACUCCGAGCCUGCGUUCGAUACUGGACGGCUAGAGUCUGGUAGGGGGAUCUGGAAUUCCUGGAUGUGAGCGGUGGGAAGUACGCAGAUAUCAGGAGGAACACCGGUGGCGAAGGCGGGAUCCUGGGCCAGUACUGACGCUGAGGAGCGAAAGCGUGGGGAGCAAACAGG